rnacentral:rRNA from 1 species
AACGAACGCUGGCGGCAUGCCUAACACAUGCAAGUCGAACGAGACCUUCGGGUCUAGUUGCGCACGGGUGCGUAACGCGUGGGAACCUGCCCUUAGGUUCGGAAUAACUCCCCGAAAGGGGUGCUAAUACCGGAUAAUGUCUUCGGACCAAAGAUUUAUCGCCUUUGGAUGGGCCCGCGUUGGAUUAGCUAGUUGGUAGGGUAAAAGCCUACCAAGGCGACGAUCCAUAGCUGGUCUGAGAGGAUGAUCAGCCACACUGGGACUGAGACACGGCCCAGACUCCUACGGGAGGCAGCAGUGGGGAAUAUUGGACAAUGGGCGAAAGCCUGAUCCAGCAAUGCCGCGUGAGUGGUGAAGGCCUUAGGGUUGUAAAGCUCUUUUACCCGGGAUGAUAAUGACAGUACCGGGAGAAUAAGCUCCGGCUAACUCCGUG